rnacentral:lncRNA from 1 species
CUUUCCUCCCACUCACCAGGCCCCAGAUGCUCUUACUGACGUAUCUGUGGCUCCCUGCCCCUCCUUUCCCACUUCGAACUCCUCCACCGCUGCAGAAAGCCCUCCAUUGCCUCUCCCCAAGCCGUCUUCACAGCAUAUCACAGGUUUGGCUUUUUUCUUCCUUCCUUCCCUCUCCCUCCCUCCCUCCCUCUCUCUUUCUUUCAACAGAUAUUUACUGAGCACCUACUAUGUGCCAGACCCUGGGAAAACAAGAAUGCCGGGCAGGCCCACUCCCCAGGAUACUGAGACCCAGCUGAAGGCUUAUUUUAAGAGGCCCACCUUCCAGCCGGCGCCCAUGAUAAGUAAGCAGAAGAGCGCCCACCCUGGGCCUUCCAGCUGGUCUCCUGGCCUCUGUUUUCUCGCUCCAUUUCAGUCCAUGAUACGUGCUGUGCCAGAGGAACAUUCCUAAGUGUGCAGACAACCAACGACUCGAGUCGCCGCGUGAAUCUGUCAAAGCCAGGCCAGAAGCUUGCCUUUUCUAAAGACACAGCGUUCAGCCCUCGCCAGAUGGGAACCUGUCAGCGCAGCAGGCAGAUAAUUAUCCUUUCGGCGGUGGGAGGCCUUCCCGUGAAUGGAAACUCGGACACUUGCUACAGCUGUGGCCCCACAGCCAAUCAGGGAGGACGUCCGUCCGUGCACAUCAAGCAACUCUUGCUUGGCGGGGCUCAGGGUAAGGUGCCCAAGAAGCAUGUUUGGAUGGACAUCCUUGGGAAUCCAACCAUGAAUAAAGGUCAUGGGCUUCCUUCGUAUCUUCUGGUUGAAAUGCCUGUGAGAUGCUUAGUCCUGCCGGACCACAAAACACACUCUGAGGUGCCAGUUUCCGAUGAGGAAGCAGAAGGCAAGCUGAGGACAAAGCACAAGCUAACACCCCGCAACCUCCCCCAGCCCCCCACUCCUGGGUGGGAUAUGUGCACUAUUCCCCAGGAAACUCCCAACGCUUUUAAUGUUAAUGCUUGGCUAGAGGGAAAAACAAAAUUAGCCUGA